rnacentral:rRNA from 1 species
UACGUAGGUGGCAAGCGUUGUCCGGAUUUACUGGGCGUAAAGAGCGCGCAGGCGGUCGAAUAAGUCGAAUGUGAAAGCCCCCGGCUUAACUGGGGAGGGUCAUUCGAUACUGCUCGACUUGAAGGCAGGAGAGGGUAGUGGAAUUCCCCAAGUAGAGGUGAAAUUCGUAGAUAUGGGGAGGAACACCGGUGGCGAAGGCGACCAUCUGGACGGAUACUGACGCUGAGACGCGAAAGCGUGGGUAGCAAACAGG